rnacentral:rRNA from 1 species
UACGUAGGGUGCAAGCGUUAAUCGGAAUUACUGGGCGUAAAGCGUGCGCAGGCGGUUAUGUAAGACAGGUGUGAAAUCCCCGGGCUUAACCUGGGAACUGCAUUUGUGACUGCAUCGCUGGAGUGCGGCAGAGGGGGAUGGAAUUCCACGUGUAGCAGUGAAAUGCGUAGAUAUGCGGAGGAACACCGAUGGCGAAGGCAAUCCCCUGGGCCUGCACUGACGCUCAUGCACGAAAGCGUGGGGAGCAAACAGG